rnacentral:rRNA from 1 species
AGAUUGAACGCUGGCGGCAUGCCUAACACAUGCAAGUCGAACGGGAGUAGCAAUACUCUAGCGGCGGACGGGUGAGGAAUACGUAGGAAUUUGCCCUUAAGUGGGGGAUAACCCGGGGAAACCCGGAUUAAUACCGCAUGACCUCGAAAGAGCAAAGUGGGGGAUCGCAAGACCUCACGCUUUUGGAGAAGCCUACGUCGGAUUAGCUAGUUGGUGAGGUAAUGGCUCACCAAGGCGACGAUCCGUAACUGGUCUGAGAGGAUGAUCAGUCACACCGGAACUGAGACACGGUCCGGACUCCUACGGGAGGCAGCAGGUGGGGAAUUA